UUCGACGUAUUCAUUGCCGUGAACAACGCGGUUGGGACAGCACACUCACGACGUUGGAAGGUCACAGAAAUGUUGAAAGACAUCAGAUUGGGCAUACGCUUCACCCGUGCAACUUCGUCAUGUGCUCCUCGGCAGCACAAGCCUUUACGGCUGUGCCACUAUGUGUGGAAACGUCGUAGCGGAUGAAUGUGAAUUAUGGAUCUCCAAGUGGCGUCGCCCGCGUCAUUUUCAAGAUUUUACCCGUUUUGAAGGCAAUAGGGCUGUUGAUAGGGAGAAUGCUAGGCUACUGCAGACUGCAACCAUAGGCGCUGUGUCUAAAGGUUAAGCUCACAUGACGCGGCAGGGAAGGGAGUCCGUGGCGAAAAGUGAAUAUAGCCGAAGUUGGAUAGCGUUAAUUUUUGCGCACGAAAGGCAAGCUGGACACAUCGCAAAUCUCCAGUUGUACGAAACACAGUGCAGCAUGGUCGUCGGUUAUGCCAGUGCUUCAACAUAUGUUUCAGCGUCGCACUUCGGACAUUGCGGGCAUAUACCUUUAAGUUUUUCCCCUUGUGGACCGAUGCUG